GAUGAACGCUAGCGGCAGGCCUAAUACAUGCAAGUCGAACGGUAAGUAUGAUAGCAAUAUUGUACCAAGAGUGACGUACGGGUGCGUAACACGUAUGCAACCUACCCUUUACAGAUGGAUAGCUCGGGGAAACUCGAAUUAACCCGUCAUAGUAUAGUUGAAUGGCAUCAUUUAAUUAUUAAAACUGAGGUGGUAAAGGAUGGGCAUGCGUCUGAUUAGUUAGUUGGCGGGGAACGGCCCACCAAGACGAUGAUCAGUAGGGGAACUGAGAGGUUGA
rnacentral:rRNA from 1 species